UUUUGGGAAAAUUGAAUGUUUCAGGUGCGCCUUAUAGUGCGGAAAAUACGGUAACUUAAAUAGUUGAAGAAACAAUUAUGCUUGACUUCCUGAUAUGGUUUCACCGUCAUGACAAAAAGAAAAAAAAAAGUAUGCAAACGUGGCUAAAUUGGAGUUGGAGCAUUUGAGGGUGCACGUGAAAUAGGAACUUUUGAAAAACCCAGCGGCCCGAUCAGAAAUAGCGUCUCGGGGGCCAAAGUGAUUCAUUGAGUGCUUCAUCCAAUCAAAAUGUUAUAUAAGCCACGUCUUUCUUCAGCCAGUCUUACAGCACCACGAAAGCAUUCCGCCACUUGCAAACAAGCUUGUCUGUCAAAAGAGACCCAUUGCGGCAUUUUCUUUCCACAGUCAUUCUGUUCAAUCUAGUGAUUGUUUUUUUUUUUGUUUGUUUUUGGUCUUUCAUGAAUGACCUUGCUGGCAUACAGUGAGCAUCAAUCGUCAGUUGUUUGUUACGCAAUCAUGGCGGGGAUAUGUGUGUGUGUGUGUGUGU